CCCGCUUCCGGAAAGAUUUUUUAUUAAAUCUAGCAGAAUUUUGCGAUAUUCAUCUGGUCAUGUCACCGGCACCCUACUAGAAAAAAAACACCCCGGCCCUGGCCCUGUCCCGUCACGCUGAUACCAAGUUGUAAGUUGUAGGCUGUGGAAAUGGCAGAAAUUACUUCUUUCAAACCAGACAAACAACAGACAGGAACGAUGAAAAGACCGGCACAAUCGUCAAAGCCAAAGGACUGGAAGAAGUGGAGAGAUGAAAAUAAAGCAAAGAAGAAGAAAUAUAAAGAUGCCAAGCUGGAAUGU